rnacentral:rRNA from 1 species
GACAUAGGUCGCAAACGUUACUCAGAAUUAUUGGGCGUAAAGGAUGCGUAGAUGGUAAAAUAAGUUAUUAGUGGUAAAUCAGAGCUCAACUUUGUGGAAGCUUAUAAUACUGUUUUGCUAGAGGAUAGGAGAGGUUAACGGAAUUCUGUGUGGAGCAGUGAAAUGCUUAGAUAUAUGGAAGAACAUCAAAAGGCGAAGGCAGUUAACUAUUCUAUUUCUGACAUUGAGGCAUGAAAGCGUGGGGAGCAAAACAG